CCCCUAGAUGUUCUGGGCCGCACGCGCGCUACACUGAACAGUUCAACAAGUCUUAACCUUGGCCGAUAGGUCUGGGUAAUCUUUGAACGCUGUUCGUGAUUGGGAUAGACCUUUGCAAUUAUGGGUCUUCAACGAGGAAUUCCUAGUAAACGCAAGUCAUCAGCUUGCAUUGAUUACGUCCCUGCCCUUUGUACACACCGCCCGUCGCACCUACCGAUUGAAUGGUCCGGUGAAAUCUCGGGACGGCGGCUUGGUCGCUUGCGUCCGACUGCUGAAACUUGCUUAAACCAUAUCAUUUAGAGGAAGGUGAAGUCGUAACA
rnacentral:rRNA from 1 species